UACGUAGGUGGCAAGCGUUGUCCGGAUUUAUUGGGUUUAAAGGGUGCGUAGGCGGCCCUGUAAGUCAGUGCUGAAAUAUCCCAGCUUAACUGGGAGGGCUGGCAUUGAUACUGCGGGGCUAGAGUACAGAUGAGGUAGGCGGAAUUGACGGUGUAGCGGUGAAAUGCUUAGAUAUCGUCAAGAACACCUAUAGCGAAGGCAGCUUACUAGGCUGUAACUGACGCUGAGGCACGAAAGUGUGGGGAUCAAACAGG
rnacentral:rRNA from 1 species